AACGAACGCUGGCGGCACGUUUUAAGCAUGCAAGUCGAACGGCAGUGGGGGCAACCCCAUGAGAGUGGCGAACGGGUGAGUAACACGUAGGUGAUCUGCCUUUGGGUUGGGGAUAGCUUGUGGAAACACAGGGUAAUACCGAAUGAGCUGACGAGGCUUUGGCCAUGUUAGUAAAGGUGCUACGGCACUGCCUAGAGAGGAGCCUGCGGCUGAUUAGCUAGUUGGUGGGGUAAAGGCCUACCAAGGCGACGAUCAGUAGCCGGCCUGAGCGGGUGUGCGACCACUCUGGAAAUGAGACACGGUCCAGACUCCUACGGGAGGCAGAAGGUAAGAAUCUUCCGCAAUGGGCGAAAGCCUGACGGAGCGAUGCCGCGUGAUCGAUGAAGGUCGAGAGAUUGUAAAGAUCUUUUCCAACUGAGGAAUAAGUGGACCAGGGAAUGGGUUCAUGAUGACGUUAAGUUGGGAAUAAGCCCCGGCUAAUUACGUGCCAGCAGCCGCCGUAA
rnacentral:rRNA from 1 species